GCUGGAGUUUGCGUGAAAGGUUGCAGAUGUUCCACCUCUUAUCCUCCCAUUACUGUCUCUAAUGACUACCACUGCAGCCCCCUUUUUUGGAAGUAAUCGAGAAGGCCGCGCUCACAUUGAUCUUUAGCCAACCUUGUGGGGGAGCUCUCCAAAUUACUGGUUUGAGAGAGGAGAUCAAAAGAUGAGAUAGCCUAUUUGGUGAAGAGAUUUGGAGGGGAUAAACUGUGGGAGCAUAAAGAAGAAAAAACGGUUGGGUAAGUUAAGGUAUGGAAGGUCUUGAUAAAGAUGGUUAAAAGGUUGAGAGUGGUUAGAUGAGGGGAAUACAAUGUUUUAAGGUAAGUAUGGAAUGGGGUCAGCUUCUGGUUAAGGAGCACUUGAAAUAGGGAAAAUGGUGUUUGUUGAGUUAGAAGUUUUCAAGAAUGUGAGAAGCUCAGAGUUGAAUGAUGUUAUGUUCAAGGAGAUGUUUUCAAUAAUAUGAGUUGGAGAUAGGAAAGGGAAGAACCUCCCUCAUGAAGAACCUAAAGUUCUUAAUUACUCUCCAAGCGAGAGAGAAAAUCCCUCCACCAGGGGAAAAAUAAUAAAAUAUACAAUGAUGACUCUAUUUUUUUAUUUU